rnacentral:piRNA from 1 species
CACCCAAAGACUGAACUGGUGUGUGUGCAA